rnacentral:rRNA from 1 species
GAUGAACGCUGGCGGCGUGCCUAAUACAUGCAAGUCGAGCGAAUGGAUUGAGAGCUUGCUCUUAUGAAGUUAGCGGCGGACGGGUGAGUAACACGUGGGUAACCUGCCCAUAAGGCUGGGAUAACUCCGGGAAACCGGGGCUAAUACCGGAUAACAUUUUGAACCGCAUGGUUCGAAAUUGAAAGGCGGCUUCGGCUGUUACUUAUGGAUGGACCCGCGUCGCAUUAGCUAGUUGGUGAGGUAACGGCUCACCAAGGCAACGAUGCGUAGCCGACCUGAGAGGGUGAUCGGCCACACUGGGACUGAGACACGGCCCAGAGUCCUACGGGAGGCAGCAGUAGGGAAUCUUCCGCAAUGGACGAAAGUCUGACGGAGCAACGCCGCGUGAGUGAUGAAGGCUUUCGGGUCGUAAAACUCUGUUGUUAGGGAAGAACAAGUGCUAGUUGAAUAAGCUGGCACCUUGACGGUACCUAACCAGAAAGCCACGGCUAACUACGUGCCAGCCGCCGCCGUAA